ACGGGAGGGGCGAGCGUUAUUCGGAAUUAUUGGGCGUAAAGAGUUCGUAGACGGUAUUAUAAGUUAUUUGUUAAAUUUUAAAGUUAAUUUUAAACGAGCAUUUAAUACUAUUUUACUUGAGUUUGAAUUAGAAGAAUAGAAUUCCAUGUGGAGAAGUAAUAUUUGUAGAUAUAUGGAGGAAUACCAGAAGUGAAGACGAUUCUUUAUUAAAAACUGACGUUGAGGAACGAAAGUGUAGGUAGCAAACAGG
rnacentral:rRNA from 1 species